AGCGACCUCAAAUCAGGAGGAC
rnacentral:rRNA from 1 species